rnacentral:rRNA from 1 species
UACGUAGGGUGCUAGCGUUGUUCGGAAUUAUUGGGCGUAAAGAGCGUGUAGGCGGCCCGGUAAGUCCGCUGUGAAAGUCGGGGGCUCAACCCUCGAAUGCCGGUGGAUACUGUCGGGCUAGAGUGCGGAAGAGGCGAGUGGAAUUCCUGGUGUAGCGGUGAAAUGCGCAGAUAUCAGGAGGAACACCGAUUGCGAAGGCAGCUCGCUGGGACGUUACUGACGCUGAGACGCGAAAGCGUGGGGAGCAAACAGG